rnacentral:rRNA from 1 species
UACGGGGGGGGCAAGCGUUGGUUCGGAAUUACUGGGCGUAAAGGGCUCGUGAGGCGGCCAACUAAGUCGGAUGUGAAAUCCCCAGGCUUAACCGUGGGAAACCUGGCAUCCGAGUACUGGAUGGCUUGAAUCCGGGAGAGGGAUGCAGAAUUCCAGGUGUAGCGGUGAAAUGCGUAGAUAUCUGGAGGAAUACCGGUGGCGAAGGCGGCAUCCUGGACCGGCAUUGACGCUGAUGAG